AGUACGGCGGAACACGAGAAAUUCCGUCGGAAUCCGCGGGGACCAUCCCGCAAGGCUAAAUACUCCCUAGUGACCGAUAGUGAACCAGUACCGUGAGGGAAAGGUGAAAAGCACCCCGGAAGGGGAGUGAAAUAGAUCCUGAAACCGUGUGCCUACAACAAGUCAAAGCUCGUUAAUGAGUGAUGGCGUGCCUUUUGUAGAAUGAACCGGCGAGUUACGAUUGCAUGCGAGGUUAAGUCGAAGAGACGGAGCCGCAGCGAAAGCGAGUCUGAAUAGGGCGAAUGAGUAUGUAGUCGUAGACCCGAAACCAUGUGAUCUACCCAUGUCCAGGUUGAAGGUGCGGUAAAACGCACUGGAGGACCGAACCCACGUACGUUGAAAAGUGCGGGGAUGAGGUGUGGGUAGCGGAGAAAUUCCAAACGAACUUGGAGAUAGCUGGUUCUCUCCGAAAUAGCUUUAGGGCUAGCCUCGGAAUUGAGAAUGAUGGAGGUAGAGCACUGUUUGGACUAGGGGCCCAUCUCGGGUUACCGAAUUCAGAUAAACUCCGAAUGCCAUUCAUUUAUAUCCGGGAGUCAGACUGCGAGUGAUAAGAUCCGUAGUCGAAAGGGAAACAGCCCAGACCACCAGCUAAGGUCCCAAAAUAUAUGUUAAGUGGAAAAGGAUGUGGGGUUGCACAGACAACUAGGAUGUUGGCUUAGAAGCAGCCACCAUUUAAAGAGUGCGUAAUAGCUCACUAGUCGAGUGACCCUGCGCCGAAAAUGUACCGGGGCUAAACAUAUUACCGAAGCUGUGGACUACACCAUUAGGUGUAGUGGUAGGAGAGCGUUCUAAGGGCGUUGAAGGUCGAUCGUGAGGACGGCUGGAGCGCUUAGAAGUGAGAAUGCCGGUAUGAGUAGCGAAAGACAGGUGAGAAUCCUGUCCACCGUAUGACUAAGGUUUCCUGGGGAAGGCUCGUCCGCCCAGGGUUAGUCGGGACCUAAGCCGAGGCCGAUAGGCGUAGGCGAUGGACAACAGGUUGAUAUUCCUGUACCAGUUGUUUUUGUUUGAGCAAUGGAGGGACGCAGUAGGCUAAGGAAUGCAUGCGAUUGGAAGUGCAUGUCCAAGCAAUGAGUCUUGAGUAGAGUUAAAUGCUUUACUCUUUAAGGACAAGUUGUGACGGGGAGCGAAAUAAUAGUAGCGAAGUUCCUGAUGUCACACUGCCAAGAAAAGCUUCUAGUGAGAAAACAACUGCCCGUACCGUAAACCGACACAGGUAGUCGAGGAGAGUAUCCUAAGGUGAGCGAGCGAACUCUCGUUAAGGAACUCGGCAAAAUGACCCCGUAACUUCGGGAGAAGGGGUGCUGACUUCGGUCAGCCGCAGUGAAUAGGCCCAAGCGACUGUUUAUCAAAAACACAGGUCUCUGCAAAAUCGUAAGAUGAAGUAUAGGGGCUGACGCCUGCCCGGUGCUGGAAGGUUAAGAGGAUGGGUUAGCUUCGGCGAAGCUCAGAAUUGAAGCCCCAGUAAACGGCGGCCGUAACUAUAACGGUCCUAAGGUAGCGAAAUUCCUUGUCGGGUAAGUUCCGACCCGCACGAAAGGCGUAACGAUUUGGGCACUGUCUCAACGAGAGACUCGGUGAAAUUUUAGUACCUGUGAAGAUGCAGGUUACCCGCGACAGGACGGAAAGACCCCAUGGAGCUUUACUGUAGUUUGAUAUUGAGUGUUUGUACCACAUGUACAGGAUAGGUAGGAGCCGAUGAGACCGGAACGCUAGUUUCGGAGGAGGCGCUGGUGGGAUACUACCCUUGUG
rnacentral:rRNA from 1 species